GUUUCUUAUUAGCUUUAUAAAAACCAAAUUUAUUCCUCUUUUCCCUGCGGCGGCGUACGUCCCUCCGACUACCACACCGUGGUAGUCACUCCGGCAGCAACCACACAAACCAGGAACUUGGAAGACCCACGACUCCCUUCUCCGGCAACGUCUGGUGGCGCAGAUAUUUCUUCCCCUCUUUUCCGAUCGGAAAGGGUAUUUCCCAUCAAAGGGUUGUGUUGAAUGAAUGGGUGCACUAUGUGCUGUAUGGGCCCAAAUGGUUUGUACUCAUUGUAUGAGGAGGGGAACGUAGUACACAAUUUGUUUUUGUUUUUUGUAUAUUUGUGUGUUGAGGUUAGCUUACGCGCACGUUGACUAAUCUCACAGGACCGUUUGACCUGCAAUAUUUGGUACCAGAAAACACAUCAGAAUUAAUUCCUAAGGUAGGUGAUUAUCAUGGGGUUUGAAUCUGGAAUAUAAUACACAAUUGGUGCCUCCGUAAUCUUUUAAUCUCUUUAUUAAGAGUGGGAAUUCAUAUCUGCUGGAGCUCUUACAGCACCAUGCUUUCCUGACAAGAAACCGUUGGAUUCUUCAACAAGGGGCUGAUUUCAAGCAGAUUGAUAUGGAAUGGGACCGGUAUCAUAUUUCCCGUGAUUAAUUAAUCAGUUCUUUCAAAUUUACCACAUAAAAAAGUUGGAAUUUUUAAUUUCUAUGUUUUCUCUAUUGGCCUGCUCCAUUGCCUACUAAAUUGUAGAAAUCACAGCCUUGCCUACUAAAUGUUCAGUAAUGUAACUAAGCGUGGAUUUGGAAUGAGAGGUACUAGUUGGGCCAUUCUUAUUUUGGUUCAGUACAGGGUUUCAGUAAAGGUUUGAGAUGAUUAAUGUGUUUGCUGGGUCUGUUGGAAUUUCAAUGAACAAGAACAAGGUUCACUAGAAAGCCUUGUUUGGUGAAGAACAACAAUGCUUAUGGACAUGAUUCUCGAGACGACAGGUUGAUUUAUCGUCAACGACAUGGCAUCGGUG